rnacentral:rRNA from 1 species
CAGUCCCGCGGUAAUACGAAGGGGGCUAGCGUUGCUCGGAAUGACUGGGCGUAAAGGGCGCGUAGGCGGCGGCCAAAGUCAGGCGUGAAAUUCCUGGGCUCAACCUGGGGGCUGCGUUUGAUACUUGGUUGCUUGAGUGGGGAAGAGGGUCGUGGAAUUCCCAGUGUAGAGGUGAAAUUCGUAGAUAUUGGGAAGAACACCGGUGGCGAAGGCGGCGACCUGGUCCUUGACUGACGCUGAGGCGCGAAAGCGUGGGGAGCAAACAGGAUUAGAUACCCCCGUAGUCCCUGUCUCUUAUACA